rnacentral:lncRNA from 1 species
UUUUUUUUUUUUUUAAUUCUGACACUUUGUGAAAUAGUUUUUAUUCCUCGUCUUCAUGUGCUUGUUGGCACUGGCGGAACCACUCUGACUCUUGCUGGGUCCGGGACAUUUUUAGCCCCUGAGAUGCACCCCUCUGUGGCACUAGGUGUGAUGCUGCCCUGGAAAUUGUGUCCCAUGAGCCUUCGUCAGCUCAGGCUGCCGCACAAAACACAGGAGACCUUGGGGCUUAAACAGCAGAGGUGUAUUUUCUCGCCGUUCUGGAGGCUGGCUGGGUCGGGUUCUGAUGAGGGCUCCCUUCCGGGCGUAAGUCCUCCAUGACCUCUCCUUAGCGGGAAGAUCUCGUAUUUUUCUUAUAAAGCCCCAUCAUAUUGAAUUAGGAUUCCACCCUUAGAGCCUCAUGUAACCUCAGUUACCUCCUAAAAGUCCUAUCUCCAAAUAAACUCACGCUGGGGGUUAGGGCUUCAAGACACACAUUUUGGGGGGAUGUCCUUCAGUCCGUAGCAUCAAGGCACAAGGCUCAAUACAUACAACAUUCGGCGGGAUCUUAGCCUUGGCCUUGUACGUGUGUGUCUGUGAUCCCUACACUGUCAGGGCUUCCUCUUGCUUCAGGCUCUUUACGAGGCUUGUCCACACAGACGUCAGAACUCGCACUGUGAGUCGUACCCCUCAGAGUCAUUACGAAAUCCGUGUCAGGUUUAUUUGCCUCCUCUUACCAGUUCUGUCGGGUGACCUCUCCAAGCAUCACAGACAGGAACUGACUGAGGUCUUGGCUCAUGUGUCGUCACCAAACAGCGCUUUAUGAUUCAAAGUAGAGCCAUGGAGACUGUUCCCUAAGAUCUGAACCAGACCUGGGAACCUCCAUAUGCCUCGGGAGUGGCCCAAGAAAUAGCAAAAAAAAAAAAAAAAAAGACAAAAACAAAAAAAAAAUAACUGAACUCUGAGUCUGUCCUUUAUCUCUCCCAACAAGUCCUGCUCAUUCAUCUCAUCUCAGAAAUUCAGAAAGAGCAAGGGCAGGUGGGAGUCCUUGGCUCACCCUUGCACCUGGAUGGGUUCUCUUCUUCCUGGAGCUGUGGCCCCUUUUUAUAGCCUCACUAGGCUCUGGGGAGAAGUAAUGGGAGGAGAGAAGUGCCGUGACACCGCCGAGAUCUUUUGGUAGAGAGAGUCCUGCGUCCAGAACCCUUCUCGCUGCAUCGUAUCAACCCUAAGAGCUGGAGGCGCCUCUUCUGUGUAGGGGGCCACCCUGGAGGUCCAGCCUCUCUCCUUCCUGAGCGGGGGCAGGGAGGAGGGUUCCACCCCCACCCCCACCCAGUGCCCGGCUUAUGCAGGAACCACGUUCCUCUCCCUCUUGCCUUAAAUAAGGGUUUUAGUGGUCUGCCAGCUUAUUCAUCUAUUGUAUUUAUGGAAACCACUAAAGACUUCACAAAAGGACUUAAUUCAACACGAAGUUCUAUCUUGGAAGAAAUUUGUUUAAUAGUGCAGGGAAAAUUGGGCUUUUAAUACGGGAGGAGCAGAGCUGCUCUGUAACUUAGAAAACGGAAACAGAGAUAAGAAGUAGCAGGGAAGCCACAAGGUUCAGAAGGACGGCGAUUCAGGGUCAUGGCGGAGUCAAGCCCAGGUCAAGGUCUCCAGGGUCCACGGCUGCCCUGGCAAAGCCAGGGCACAGCAAAGGCCAGCUCAGCAUCCGGUGGUCUUGGGUUGGCAGCAGGACCCGGAGCUUGGAUUGACAGGAUGGAUCAGUGUUCAUCCCCAAGCCUGGGGGCCCUGGGGGCCGGGACUGUUGCAGCCACUGGGCAUCUUGGGCACAGUUGUCUGCCCAGAGUCAGCUCUUUAAUGGUGGCUUCCUGGCAGGGUGGCCUAGGCCUCUGACUGAGUAGAGGGGGAGGCGGCCUUUGGGGGAAAUGCAGGGUGGGCUGGGGGCUCUUCCAGUGAAGAGGAAAGUGCUCUGGAAGCAGAGAGCCCUGAGUUCAACCUGCUUCUGCUCUUUGUGGGCCGUGUGGAUUCAGGCCAGUUCGUGCAUCUCCCCGAACCUCGGUUUUCCCAGCAGAGGGAGUCCUGGCCCCCUGUGCUCCUGUGGAUGAGAAGCAUCGCCUCCGGUUACCCAGCCUUAGCGACGUGCCCAGUGCUUGAACUGGACCGUCUUCUGUAAUAAGACAGUUUCUAAAGGCCCAGCUGAGCAGCUCACCCUGGGCGACACUCCGUCAGGGCCAUGUCCCCUUAGAGCCGGGCAGCGACUGAUUCCCGAAGCAGCCGCGAGCCUUCCAUCCCGCCUCGGUGCCCCAUGCGCCAGGGCUUGGCAGGCCCUCAGCCCAGAGCCUCUCACCAGCGGGGACCCUCCUUGGCGUCGAGCAUCAGCCAGGGCCUGGGAUAGAAGAUGCGCGUCAUCACAGAUGCUGCAGGGAGAGAGGACGACAGAGAAGCGAAGAGAUAAGAACUCGAGGGAAGGUUUUCUUUCAAUUAAGAAAGGCAGUGAUUCUUCCCAUCACGAGAGUCUUGCUAGGAAUAUUGUUGCGUUGGUUUGUUAAAGAGGAAAUACGGUAUCUGCAGUGUGAACGCUGCCCGGCAGUCCCUGCCCCCCCUACCCCCAUGACCUUCCCCCCCCUCGGCUCAGAACCCGCUGCAUCCUGAAGCCUCCUGUGGGGGGAGGGGGAGCUCAGAGACCUGCCACUGGGGAGUAAAGGCAGGUCCUACACUGCCACUGGGUCCUCACAGGCCUGCUGUGGGGGUGGGGGGAUGGCUUGGGGUGUCAGAUGGGGGAGGGGGGAAGGGCUGGGCCCAUUGAGGUCUCUCAUACACACCCAGUCCACACACGUGCACAUGGGCGCACACGUGUGUGCUUCUUCUGCCUCUGCUGGACUUCCAACCAGAACCUGGAGGGCUUCUUUUGCUCCAAAUUUCAAUCCUGCUUCUUUCCUUGCUUUGUAAACAGCUAAGACCUCACCUUUGAAGCAGUGUCAGGUUCAGAGCCAAAGUCAAGGGAAUCUACAGAGACGCUUCCCAUUUAGCCUCGCCCUCACACUCAUAGCCCCCCCCCAUUAUCGACACCCCCAGAGGGGUGCCUCUGUAAUAAUGGAUGAACCCAUCUUGACUCAUAAUGGCCCCAAGUCCAUUGCUGAUCACUCCUGGUGCUGGACAUUCCAUGGGUUUGGACAAAUGUCUAAUGACACCCAUCCACCACUGUGGUGUGGUGUGGUGUGGUGUGGUGUGGUGUGGUGUGGUGUGGUGUGGUGUGGUAUGGUGUGGGGCAGAGUGUAUUCGCUGCCCUGAAUAGCCUCUAUGCUCUGCCUGUUAAUCCCCAGCGCCCCCCCCCCGCCCCCGCCCCAGCCCUUGGAGACCAUGGAUUUUUUUCACUCUCUCCUUAGUUUGGCCUUUUCUAGGACAUCACCUAGUUGGGUCACAUAGCGCGUAGCCUUUUCAGAUUGAAUUCUUUCACUCGGUCCAAUGCAUUUAUGUUUCCUCUGUGUCUUUUCAUGGCUUAAUAGCUCGUUUCUCUUUAGCACUGAACAGUAUUCCCCUUUCUUGAUGCCCCACAAUUCGUUUAUCCAUCCACCGACUGAAGGAUAUUUUGGUUGCUUCCAAAUUUUGGCCUUCGCGAAUAAUACUGCUCUAAAUACUCAUGGGCAAGGUUUUGGCGUGGAUGCGAGUUUGCAGCUCCUUUGAGUAAAUACCAAGGACUGUGACUGCUAGAUCAUAUGGCAAGAGUAUGUUCAGUUUUGCAAAGGAAAACCCACCAAACUGUCUCCCGGAGUGGCUGUGCCCACGUGCCCCUCCCACCAGCAGUGCACCAGAGUUCCUGUGGCUCCCCAACCUCGUCAACUUUUGGCACCGUCAGUGCUCUGGAUUUGGGCCAUUCUCACAUGUGUGCUGGUGUCUCGUUGCUGUUUUAAGGUGUACGACUGGAACAUCUUCGUACGUGUGCUCGCGGGCUGUCUGUGUGUCUUCUGUGACGAGGUAUUUUUCCAGCCGUUUCAACUCACCUGCUACUGGCUGCCAUCUUCACUCACCACCAGGCAUCUUUACCCAUCAGAGGGUGGAGGGGGUCCUGACGUGCACCCGCAGUUCUCCUGGUCCAGUCUGGGGAGCAGCCAGCCUGCCCAUGCAGUCUGGGAACGCCCAGAAGCCCAGUGUCCACUACACGCUAGCUCCUCCCUCCUUUAUCUGGGGAUCCCUAGGGCCCCUGAGUGUGGCUGCCAAUUUCCAGGACAAUGAGGCGGUGGGCCCUGCACAGCACUGGCCCACAAGCGUGGGCAGGUCCCACUGUCAGGAUGUCCAGCCACUCUCCCCUCUGCCUAGUUGGACUGAGAGUCCCUGAGGUUAGAGCCUGGCUUGCUUGUCCCCAGGCCCCAGCAUCAACACAGACAGGAACUGCUGCUGCCUUGUUGGCAGACAUUGGAGGACACGUGUGCCCAGCACAGCGGGAUCGCCCGCCCUGUGGAACAGGGUGGAGGGAAGAGGCCUGGUCUCUCGGGCACUUCACCCAAUGACUGGUAACUCCCCGCCAGCUGCCCAGAGCCUGGGAUGUGGCGGGGUGGGGGUAGGGGUUCCUCUGGGGACAUGAGGGGGCCGGAUGAGGUUGGGGUCCCAUCUCACCACUCCCCAGCCCAGCUUCAGCUGGCGGGAGAUGGACCUCUUUCCCUGUAGGGCAGGGUCCCAGAUGCCUCCCUUCUGGGCUUGGAAGGGGGCUCCCCCUCCUGGGGAGGGGCGCAUGUGUGUCUGAGCACGUGGACUUUGUUUCUGAGCAGCAGAAGUGUCCCUGGCAGGGCAGCCUGGUCAGGGCUGGGGGCCCCGGGAGCUUCCCGUCUAAGGGAAUUUGCUUGUUCUCUGCCUCUUUGCUGUGAUCAAAUGCAGCAGGGGCUAUACUUUCCCUUCUGUAGCCUUCGUGGUAGGAAUACCAACUUCAGCCCAGGGGGUAGUUUGGUUACUGAACUGCUGUGUGGUCUUGGGUCAGGUGCUUAACCUCUCUGAGCCUGGGCUAAUAACACCCAUCUCCUAAGGCUGUUCUGAGAAUCCAAUGAAUUAAUAUCCGAGAAGGCAAAGUGUCCAUAACACGAGUUAUUUCUUGUUCGGGUCUGAACACCGGGCUCGCUUGCCUUGCUGGUCCCCGAUACGCACUGAGCACAGGAGACAAGGCUGGAUGCUGAGCUCUCUGCAGAUGCAGGACUGAGCUCUGCACAGUGCAGUGACGUAGGUUCUUUGGGAAUCGAAUAUCGGCACAUGUGACACAACAGGCCAUUGUGCCCAACAGGCUGGGGCAGUGCGCAUUCCUUCUGGAUGCUUCGGAGGAAAGGAGAUGGUUCCUGGUUGGACAUAAAAAGUGGAAAGCCCGUCUCUCUUCUGAUGUGGUUGCUGCUGCCUGGUGCUGCAGAGGGGCUUGGCCUGAGCAGAAGAAAGCAGGCGUUGUGUGCUGUUCGUAUAUUGAUUGACUCAUCAAAUGAUCUGCCUCAGCGGCCUGCAUGUGUUUACAGGGUGAAAAUUAAAGCCACAGAUGUUUACUGUAUAAUAGGAUUUGAAAUCUGUUCUGGGGGGCUGGGGGGAGGUGGGGCGAGCAAGCGUGGAAACCACUGGGCCAAGAAUGAGAAAAACACUUUUGCAUGAGGGAGGAUUUGGUUCAGUAAGUAACACAUGGUGCUUGCUGUCAAAUGUUAACAAGAAACACGGGCCGUCUCUCCCUUUUGGCCGGUGUUGGCUUGUGUGUCCACCUCCCGGGCUUGCGCCCGUGCCGUGUGUUGAUGGGGCACCUUCUAAAGUGGGUUCGUUUUCUAGAGAGCUGCUUCUGAAAGGGAGCACCCCGCCUGACUGUCCAUCAUGAGCGCUGAUGCCGGCCUGGGGCCACCAGCUCCCUUCCCGCGCAUCUACUGACGGCCGUGGCCGGCCCUGCGGCCAGGACAGCCCGUCCGACUGGACCUUGAAUGGGGGCGGGGGGGGGGCCUCCUGUGCCUCCCGUCUUGACUCAGGCCACGUCCCUGCUGUCUGUUGCUUGAGGCCAGAUCUCUGCUGUCACUGUUCUCUGUGACGUGAUUUCCUUUGUCUUGCCAGAGCCUCUAAGCCGCGCAACAGAGAGAGAUUUUUUCAGGGGUCAGGGCAACAGAAACCCCCCCUUUUCUCCGUGGAGUUUCCCCCACUUCCCCCUGGCCCUGCCGGCUUUAAGAGGGUCUCAAAGUGGGAAGGUCGAAGGCCACUGGUCCAGCGGUGGCCCCUGGGAGGCCCAGGAGGGAACUUCCUUCCGGGAAACCUCUCCUCCCGGGGGCUCGAGUGCCCCCACUUCGUGUGUGUUUUCUCUUUCCUUAUGUUUUUCUCUUCAACCGGCUCUGAUUGGCUUCACCGCAGAUGAGCAUUUUCCAUUACGCGUCCUAAUGUGUUUUUUUUAAACCAAAUCUCCCUUCACAGAUUGCUGUCUUUAUAAUAUAGGAAUUAUUUCUCAGUCACUUUAAAAGUCCUGCUUCAUUAGCUUGGUGACUGUUUGGUAAUUUGCAAAGUCACUUUCACAAGUUUUAAUACUGCCCGGUUGAGAAUCACAGCCAUAAAUGUAUUCGAUCUUAAUAGUGCUAUGAUUCCGUCUGAAGUGGAAAAAAAAAAAA